rnacentral:rRNA from 1 species
CACGUAGGGCGCGAGCGUUUGUCCGGAAUUAUUGGGCGUAAAGAGCUCGUAGGCGGCCUGUUGCGUCCGCUGUGAAAGCCCGGGGCUUAACCCCGGGUCGGCAGUGGAUACGGGCAGGCUAGAGGUAGGUAGGGGAGAAUGGAAUUCCCGGUGUAGCGGUGAAAUGCGCAGAUAUCAGGAGGAACACCGAUGGCGAAGGCAGGUCUCUGGGCAUUAACUGACGCUGAGGAGCGAAAGCAUGGGGAGCGAACAGG